CUAAAAUUAAUUUUCAGCAAUUUUUAUUUAAUAUGAGAUAAUAGACAAGUUUUUGAUAUAAUAAAAAUGAGCGAAUAUAGGCCUUAACAUAAUUUAUCGAAAUAGCUUUAGAUAAGCAUAAGUAAAUAAAAGCGACCUGCUAGAACCAAGGGAUUCGAGGGGUUCCUAAUACCUUCCUCUCGGUCAACAAAAUUCCUUACCCGGUCUUCUGUUUUCGCAGACCAUGAUAAAGAGUCAUUU
rnacentral:lncRNA from 1 species